rnacentral:rRNA from 1 species
GUGGGGAAUUUUGCGCAAUGGGGGAAACCCUGACGCAGCCACGCCGCGUGCAUGAGGACGCCUUUCGGGGUGUAAAGUGCUGUUGCGCGGGACGAAGGUCGCCGGUAAAUAGCCGGUGGACGUGACGGUACCGCGCGAGGAAGCCCCGGCUAACUCCGUGCCAGCAGCCGCGGUAAUACGGGGGGGGCGAGCGUUGUUCGGAAUGACUGGGCGUAAAGCGCCCGUAGGCGGCCGAUCAGGUGCGCAGUGAAAGCCCCAGGCUUAACCUGGGAUGUGCUGUGCAAACCGGUGGGCUAGAGUGCCGGAGGGGGAUGCGGAAUUCCUGGUGGAGCGGUGAAAUGCGUAGAGAUCAGGAAGAACGUCGGUGGCGAAGGCGGCAUCCUGGACGGACACUGACGCUGAGGGGCGACAGCGUGGGGAGCGAACGGGAUUAGAAACCCUGGUAGUCC